AAACAAAAUCAGAAAUUUAGACAAGAAAAAAAAAAUGAAAACAGCAUAUGAGUAGAAGACAGAGCAUGGCAGAAUGGAAAAAAAAGAGGUAGAGAGCAGCUGCUGGACAAAACAUGAGAGAGAGAGAGAGCAUGGCUGGACCCAAAAAAAAAAAGAGGGAGAAAGCAACUGCUGGACAAAACACACACACACACAGAGAGAG
rnacentral:misc_RNA from 1 species